rnacentral:rRNA from 1 species
GAUGAACGCUGGCGGCGUGCCUAAUACAUGCAAGUCGAGCGAACGGACGAUAAGCUUGCUUCUCUGAUGUUAGCGGCGGACGGGUGAAUAACACGUGGAUAACCUACCUAUAAUACGGGGAUAACUUCGGGAAACCGGAUCUAAUACCGGAGGAUAUUUUGAACCGCAUGGGUCAAAGGUGAAAGACGGUCUUGCGGUCACUUAUAGAUGGAUCCGCGCUGCAUUAGCUAGUUGGUAAGGUAACGGCUUACCAAGGCAACGAUGCAUAGCCGACCUGAGAGGGUGAUAGGCCACACGGGAACUGAGACACGGUCCAGACGACUAAGGGAGGCAGCAGUAGGGAACCUUAGGCAAUGGGCGGAAGUAUGACGGAGCAAGGCCGAGUGAGUGACAGAGGUGUUCGGAGCGUAAAACCCUGUUAUUAGGGAAGAACAUAUGUGUACGUAAAUGUGCACAGCUUGACGGUAACUAAUAAGAAAGCAACGGCUAACUACGUG